AACUUUACCAGUCUCACCAGCAGAUAACAGCACAACUUUACCCGUCUCACCAUCAGAUAACAGCACAACUUUACCAGUCUCACCAGCAGAUAACAGCACAACUUUAGCUACAGCAGGGACAACACUGACAGACACCAGGACAACUCUGGAUACCACUAGUGUCACAUCUUCACCAGCAGAUACCCAUAUAGUGGCCAUUGACCUGAAAGCUUAUGUAUUAUCCCAGAAUGGGGAAAAUGAAGAUGUGAUUUUUGAGGCUAUCUCCAAUUUUAUUUCCCAGACCCUUCACCAGCUGAACUGUGAGGGCUGCUCAUCAACUAUCAGACAGAUCAAACGCACCUGAGAAAGGCCAAUGUUUCAGCCAACGGGAGCACCAGUGUGGCUGUAGCUAUACUGUGACAGCAGGCUGCACAACUCUCAGAAACAACAUCAUUACUUCGAAUUUCGGCAUUCAUUCCAACAGCCCUAUCAGCGAUAUUAGGUCUACAUGAUUCAUACAUUUCUUAUGUACCCUUUUAGCAUGUAAAAUGAUAUGCAGUACUAUAAAGCUCUAUAACUAACUAUAAAGUUCUCACACAGGUAUAUUUUACAACUUAAAUCUACAACAGUGACAGAUUAAACAGUUAAUGUUCACAUUAAAAAGUAAAAACGCUAUCUUUUGGAUGGUGUACGUCCUUACUGGUGUGUAUUUGUCUGUGUACAUGGGUCUGUAUUGUUUGUCCCCAUCUGGUUUGGACCUGAGAGCUAUUUCACAAAACCAAGAUAAGGGAUUAAGCCGGGAUAUCCUUGCUCAAUUUAGUCUUGACUCGAUGUAUUAAUCUGAUAUAUUAUCAGCCUGCAUUAAAAUACAACAGGUACAUAUUGCUGUUCAUUUAACUAUUGUUAUCAUUUAAAGUGGUGACAAUUAUUUUUUUUAUUAAUUAUUCAUGUGACAUUGUUACUGUUAUAUUUCUGAAUGAAGACUGCUGUUCAUAUUGCUGUUAGAAGUUUGAGGAAUAUAUUAUGUCAGUUGUUGAGAUAAUUAAAAAAGCUUGAUACAAUUCCAAAAAGAAUGCUGUACAUGUGUGUUUCUAUAGUGGACCAAUGCACCUUGAA